UCCGGUUUGGCACCGGCAGUCCUCCCAGAGUCCUCGGCAUGACCCGGUAGCAACUGGGAGCGGGGGUUGCGCUCGUUGCGGGACUUAACCCAACAUCUCACGACACGAGCUGACGACAGCCAUGCAGCACCUGUCUAGGGACUCCGAAGAGGGGUCUCGGUUUCUCGAGACUUUCCCCUAGAUGUCAAGCCCAGGUAAGGUUCUUCGCGUUGCGUCGAAUUAAUCCACAUGCUCCACCGCUUGUGCGGGUCCCCGUCAAUUCAUUUGAGUUUCAACCUUGCGGCCGUACUCCCCAGGCGGGAUACUUAAUGCGUUAGCUGCGGCACAAGAGGGGUCAACUCCCACGACACCUAGUUCUCAUCGUUUACGGCGUGGACUAC
rnacentral:misc_RNA from 1 species